rnacentral:rRNA from 1 species
AGAGUUUGAUCAUGGCUCAGGACGAACGCUGACGGUGUGCUUUAGGCAUGCAAGUCGAACGAGAAAACCCUUCGGGGUGAGUAAAGUGGCGAACGGGUGAGUAACACGUGGGCAACCUGCCCCUCGCAGGGGGACAACCGGAGGAAACUCCGGCUAAUACCCCGUACGCUUGUUGGAUCGCAUGGUCCGGCAAGGAAAGGUAGCUUCGGCCAUCCGGCGAGGGAUGGGCCCGCGUUGCAUUAGCUAGUUGGUGGGGUAACGGCCUACCAAGGCGACGAUGCGUAGCUGGUCUGAGAGGAUGAUCAGCCACACUGGGACUGAGACACGGCCCAGACUCCUACGGGAGGCAGCAGCCAGGAAUCUUGGGCAAUGGGCGAAAGCCUGACCCAGCAACACCGUGUGGGCGACGAAGGCCUUAGGGUCGUAAAGCCCUGUUGAUAGGGACGAAGGGCGAAGGGUUAAUAGCCCCUAGCUUGACGGUACCUUUCGAGGAAGCCCCGGCUAACUACGUGCCAGCAGCCGCGGUAAUACGUAGGGGGCGAGCGUUGUCCGGAAUUAUUGGGCGUAAAGAGCGUGUAGGCGGUUCGGUAAGUCUGCUGUGAAAUCCUGGGGCUCAACCCUGGGCGUGCAGCGGAUACUGCCGGGCUAGAGGGUGGUAGAGGCGAGUGGAAUUCCGAGUGUAGCGGUGAAAUGCGCAGAUAUUCGGAGGAACACCAGUAGCGAAGGCGGCUCGCUGGGCCACACCUGACGCUGAGACGCGAAAGCGUGGGGAGCGAACAGGAUUAGAUACCCUAGUAGUCC